rnacentral:misc_RNA from 1 species
UCCGGCUUAUCACCGGCAGUCUCCCUAGAGUGCCCUUGCGUAGCAACUAGGGACAAGGGUUGCGCUCGUUGCGGGACUUAACCCAACAUCUCACGACACGAGCUGACGACAGCCAUGCAGCACCUGUGCACCGGCCCCGAAGGGCUGUCGUAUUUCUACGACAUUCCAGUGCAUGUCAAGCCUUGGUAAGGUUCUUCGCGUUGCGUCGAAUUAAACCACAUGCUCCACCGCUUGUGCGGGCCCCCGUCAAUUCCUUUGAGUUUCAGCCUUGCGGCCGUACUCCCCAGGCGGGGCACUUAAUGCGUUAGCGACGACACUCAGGGGGUCGCUCCCCCAAGCAUCUAGUGCCCAUCGUUUACGGCGUGGACUAC